GCCCAGGUGGCGGAAUUGGUAGACGCGCUAGAUUCAGGUUCUAGUGACUUCACGGUCGUGCAGGUUCGAUUCCUGUUCUGGGCA
rnacentral:tRNA from 1 species